rnacentral:rRNA from 1 species
CCUCCGGGUGGCAGCAGUGAGGAAUAUUGGUCAAUGGCCGCAGGCCUGAACCAGCCAAGUAGCGUGCGGGAUGACGGUCCUAUGGAUUGUAAACCUCUUUUGUCAGGGAGCAAAGGGCGCCACGUGUGGCGUUUUGCGAGUACCUGAUGAAAAAGCAUCGGCUAACUCCGUGCCAGCAGCCGCGGUAAUACGGAGGAUGCGAGCGUUAUCCGGAUUUAUUGGGUUUAAAGGGUGCGCAGGCGGAAUGUCAAGUCAGCGGUAAAAUUUCGGGGCUCAACCCCGUCGUGCAGUUGAAACUGGCGUGCUUGAGUGAGCGAGAAGUAUGCGGAAUGCGUGGUGUAGCGGUGAAAUGCAUAGAUAUCACGCAGAACUCCGAUUGCGAAGGCAGCAUGCCGGCGCUCAACUGACGCUCAUGCACGAAAGCGUGGGUAUCGAACAGGAUUAGAUACCCCAGUAGUC